UACGAAGGGGGCUAGCGUUGCUCGGAAUUACUGGGCGUAAAGCGCACGUAGGCGGCUCUUUAAGUCGGGGGUGAAAUCCUGGAGCUCAACUCCAGAACUGCCUUCGAUACUGUAGAGCUUGAGUUCGGGAGAGGUGAGUGGAACUGCGAGUGUAGAGGUGAAAUUCGUAGAUAUUCGCAAGAACACCAGUGGCGAAGGCGGCUCACUGGCCCG
rnacentral:rRNA from 1 species